GACGAACGCUGGCGGCGUGCUUAACACAUGCAAGUCGAACGAAGAGCGAUGGAAGCUUGCUUCUAUCAAUCUUAGUGGCGAACGGGUGAGUAACGCGUAAUCAACCUGCCCUUCAGAGGGGGACAACAGUUGGAAACGACUGCUAAUACCGCAUACGAUCUAAUCUCGGCAUCGAGGAUAGAUGAAAGGUGGCCUCUACAUGUAAGCUAUCACUGAAGGAGGGGAUUGCGUCGGAUUAGCUGGUUGGAGGGGUAACGGCCCACCAAGGCGAUGAUCAGUAGCCGGUCUGAGAGGAUGAACGGCCACAUUGGGACUGAGACACGGCCCAGACUCCUACGGGAGGCAGCAGUGGGGAAUCUUCCGCAAUGGACGAAAGUCUGACGGAGCAACGCCGCGUGAGUGAUGACGGCCUUCGGGUUGUAAAGCUCUGUUAAUCGGGACGAAAGGCCUUCUUGCGAAUAGUGAGAAGGAUUGACGGUACCGGAAGAGAAAGCCACGGCUAACUACGUG
rnacentral:rRNA from 1 species